GUUACUGUCCAUCUUUAUCAGCCAACUCCCCAGUUUCCAUCUUUCCUUUCAGAGUUUACCACUCUUCAUAGCUUCUUGCUGACUCUCCCGAAAAGAAAGAUCUCUUAUCUCCGAGGUGAGGAUGGCCUCAUAAACUCCUUUGCCCAAGGUGGACGCUCGAGCCAACUGAUCUUUCACAAGGGCCAAGUAGCCCCCUGGACGAGUUUGGGGAAGAUUUUUAUAGGUAUCUAAAGAUUCCAGUCCGGUUAAAAAAAGACCUUUCUUUUUCGGCAUUCUCGGUCCUAUAUGGAGGAACCACCUCUUCCUCUGCAUCCCUUUGAUUGCUUAGUAUCUCCUCCUUGCCGCACUCUUCUGGAACAAAGGACGUCACUGAAAAUUUGGUAUAUAAAGAAUCAUUUUGUCUUUCUUCAAAAAAGUAAGAUAGUUUCUCCUCCGCCCAAGGGUGCUUUUUGAAAGAGCUUAACUAAUAGGGCACCGGUAGGCUAAGAACCUUUCUUACUUAUGAAGAAAGUUACAACUCUAG
rnacentral:lncRNA from 1 species